UACGUAGGGUGCGAGCGUUAAUCGGAAUUACUGGGCGUAAAGUGUGCGCAGGCGGCCGCGCAAGUCGAGUGUGAAAGCCCCGAGCUUAACUUGGGAAUUGCGCUCGAAACUACGUGGCUGGAGUGUGGCAGAGGAAGGUGGAAUUCCACGUGUAGCGGUGAAAUGCGUAGAGAUGUGGAGGAACACCGAUGGCGAAGGCAGCCUCCUGGGCCAACACUGACGCUCAUGCACGAAAGCGUGGGGAGCAAACAGG
rnacentral:rRNA from 1 species